rnacentral:rRNA from 1 species
GAUGAACGCUGGCGGCGUGCUUAACACAUGCAAGUCGAACGGAAAGGCUCCUGCUUGCAGGGGUACUCGAGUGGCGAACGGGUGAGUAACACGUGGGUGAUCUGCCCUGCACUUCGGGAUAAGCCUGGGAAACUGGGUCUAAUACCGGAUAGGACGAUGGUUUGGAUGCCAUUGUGGAAAGUUUUUUCGGUGUGGGAUGAGCUCGCGGCCUAUCAGCUUGUUGGUGGGGUAAUGGCCUACCAAGGCGUCGACGGGCAGCCGGCCUGAGAGGGUGUACGGCCACAUUGGGACUGAGGUACGGCCCAGACUCCUACGGGAGGCAGCAGUGGGGAAUAUUGCACAAUGGGCGCAAGCCUGAUGCAGCGACGCCGCGUGGGGGAUGACGGCCUUCGGGUUGUAAACUCCUUUCGCUAGGGACGAAGCGCAAGUGACGGUACCUGGAGAAGAAGCACCGGCUAACUACGUG